UGGGGAAUUUUGGACAAUGGGCGCAAGCCUGAUCCAGCCAUGCCGCGUGCAGGAUGAAGGCCUUCGGGUUGUAAACUGCUUUUGUACGGAACGAAAAGACUCUGGUUAAUACCUGGGGUCCAUGACGGUACCGUAAGAAUAAGCACCGGCUAACUACGUGCCAGCAGCCGCGGUAAUACGUAGGGUGCGAGCGUUAAUCGGAAUUACUGGGCGUAAAGCGUGCGCAGGCGGUGAUGUAAGACAGAAGUGAAAUCCCCGGGCUCAACCUGGGAACUGCAUUAGUGACUGCAUCGCUGGAGUGCGGCAGAGGGGGAUGGAAUUCCGCGUGUAGCAGUGAAAUGCGUAGAUAUGCGGAGGAACACCGAUGGCGAAGGCAAUCCCCUGGGCCUGCACUGACGCUCAUGCACGAAAGCGUGGGGAGCAAACA
rnacentral:rRNA from 1 species